ACUAUUCUCACCGGCGUUUUCUACUGGAUCGCUCAGCUUGCUGGCUCCGUUGUCGCGUGCUACCUCCUCAAAGUUGUCACGGGAGGCUUGGUAAUCACACACUUGCUCUCUACAUGUUUGUUGCAACAUGAAAAUUGUUUUGAAAAUGAAAGCAAGUAAAUAUGUUUGUUAAUUUUGGUUUUAUAUGACAUUUUUUUCUUGCAGGCCGUUCCGAUCCACGGUGUGGCAGCUGGGGUGGGAGCAAUACAAGGAGUUGUGUUCGAGAUUAUAAUCACCUUUGCUCUGGUUUACACAGUUUACGCCACAGCAGCUGACCCAAAGAAGGGUGCACUAGGCACAAUUGCACCGAUUGCUAUCGGUUUCAUUGUAGGUGCCAAUAUCUUGGCAGCAGGGCCUUUCUCAGGGGGAUCGAUGAACCCGGCCAGAUCAUUUGGCCCUGCUGUGGCCAGUGGCGACUUCAGUGGUCACUGGAUCUACUGGGUCGGACCCCUCGUCGGAGGAGGAUUGGCCGGACUCAUUUACCCUAAUGUGUUCAUGCAACAGGAACACAUUCCUCUUACGAACCAGUACUGAUGAUCAUCUCAGUUCUCUCACCCCAUGGAGACUUUGUUUUCUGAAUAAGAGAAAGGAAAGGAGGUUGAUUUACUUCACUUUUCUUUCUUUUGUGAAUUUCUAAUUUAAUUCCUUUUUUCUUCUCAUUUCAGAUCUGUAAAAUCCAGAGUGUGUUGUUCUCUUUAUUUUAUGUAUGGAGUUGGAUUCAAAUUUAGCCCACUUUUCUCGACUGUUUUCCAUAUAAUUGCUUUGAAUUGUGAUGCAACUAAAAAUUAAAUCUGUUUCAACAGCAACACAAGCUACAUUCAGAAAAUAAAUUAAAAUAUUUUCUUUUUGUUACAGUCAAA
rnacentral:lncRNA from 1 species